GAUUCUGAGAUUCAAGAGCCAGAGCAGGGUGGGCCCGUGUGACCACAGUGGACCCUGCCUCCAGAGACUGGGGCUCAGGAAAGGGAAUGUCCCGAGGCCACACAGCCACGAAGCAGCACAACCAGGUGUCCGACGGCAGAGCUGGGCUCUGAGCCUCCCCCUGUGCCUAGAGACAUGGCUCCUGGACACCCCAGGGCACGUCGCAGGAACGCAGGCAGCCACACGGGGCCCUCAGAACGCUCUGAGAGGUGAGAACCACCAUGAUCCUUUAUUGGGAUGGGAAGCUGAGGCUCACAGCCAGUGGGUCUCACACCUGUGGCCCCUGCCCUGAGACCACGCGGCUGUCCUGCCUUGGUGAUGCCCGGAGCCUGGCACUGUCUCCUGCCCGGUCUGGACCAAGCACACGGGUGGCAAGGGAUCCUCCUGGCCACAGCUCUG